AACCCGGCCGGAGUAGCUCUGAGCGCCGGCUGUGAGGAAGGAGGUUCUGGGCAAGCUAUAGCCAUGGCUGUGGCUGUAGCCAUGGCGGGAGCCUUAAUCGGGUCGGAGCCAGGCCCCGCGGAAGAACUUGCCAAACUCGAGUACCUGUCUUUGGUGUCAAAGGUUUGCACUGAGCUGGACAAUCACUUGGGGAUCAACGACAAGGACCUUGCUGAAUUUGUGAUCAGUCUUGCUGAGAAAAAUACCACCUUUGAUACUUUUAAGGCUUCUCUCGUCAAAAAUGGUGCAGAAUUUACGGAUUCUCUUAUUAGUAACUUGCUGCGUCUCAUACAAACCAUGCGGCCUCCAGCGAAGCCUUCCACUAGCAAAGAUCCAGUUGUUAAACCUAAAACAGAAAAAGAAAAGCUGAAGGAACUCUUCCCAGUCCUUUGCCAACCGGACAACCCUUCUGUUCGGACCAUGUUGGAUGAAGAUGAUGUGAAAGUUGCUGUGGAUGUCCUGAAAGAACUGGAAGCUUUAAUGCCCAGCGCAGCAGGCCAGGAGAAGCAAAGAGAUGCUGAACACCGGGACAGGACAAAGAAGAAGAAGCGGAGUCGAAGCCGAGAUCGAAACCGAGAUCGAGACAGAGAUAGGGAACGAAACCGAGAUAGAGACCACAAGCGGAGACACCGAUCCCGCUCUCGAUCACGUUCCAGGACCCGGGAGAGGAAUAAAGUGAAGUCUAGAUAUCGGUCCAGGAGCAGGAGUCAGAGUCCCCCCAAAGACCGGAAGGACCGGGACAAAUAUGGAGAGCGGAAUCUGGAUAGAUGGCGGGAUAAGCAUGUGGACCGCCCUCCUCCAGAAGAGCCCACCAUUGGUGACAUUUAUAAUGGCAAAGUUACCAGCAUCAUGCAGUUUGGUUGCUUUGUGCAGCUGGAAGGACUAAGGAAGCGGUGGGAAGGCCUGGUGCACAUCUCUGAGCUCCGGCGGGAGGGUCGUGUGGCCAAUGUAGCUGAUGUCGUGAGCAAAGGCCAGAGGGUCAAAGUCAAAGUGCUGUCCUUCACUGGGACCAAGACCAGCCUGAGCAUGAAGGAUGUGGAUCAAGAGACUGGAGAAGAUCUAAACCCAAAUAGACGGCGAAAUCUUGUCGGGGAGACCAAUGAGGAGACCUCAAUGCGGAAUCCUGAUAGACCCACUCACUUGUCCCUUGUCAGUGCUCCUGAAGUAGAGGACGACUCACUGGAACGCAAGCGCCUCACCCGAAUCUCUGACCCAGAGAAGUGGGAGAUCAAACAGAUGAUUGCUGCCAAUGUCCUUUCCAAAGAAGAAUUUCCAGACUUUGAUGAAGAGACUGGCAUUCUCCCUAAGGUGGAUGAUGAAGAAGAUGAGGACCUUGAGAUUGAAUUGGUUGAGGAAGAGCCUCCAUUCCUGAGAGGGCACACUAAGCAAAGCAUGGACAUGAGCCCCAUUAAAAUUGUCAAGAACCCAGACGGCUCCCUCUCCCAAGCAGCAAUGAUGCAGAGUGCCUUGGCCAAAGAAAGGCGGGAACUCAAACAGGCCCAGCGGGAAGCUGAGAUGGAUUCUAUUCCCAUGGGACUCAACAAACACUGGGUUGACCCUCUGCCUGAUGCGGAAGGCAGACAGAUUGCUGCCAACAUGAGGGGUAUUGGGAUGAUGCCCAAUGAUAUUCCUGAGUGGAAGAAGCAUGCCUUUGGGGGCAACAAAGCCUCUUACGGAAAAAAGACCCAGAUGUCAAUCCUUGAGCAGAGGGAGAGCCUGCCCAUCUACAAACUGAAGGAGCAAUUGGUCCAGGCCGUCCAUGACAAUCAGAUCCUGAUUGUCAUUGGUGAGACAGGAUCUGGAAAGACAACACAGAUCACCCAGUACCUGGCGGAGGCAGGCUACACUUCCAGGGGCAAGAUUGGGUGUACCCAGCCCAGAAGAGUGGCAGCUAUGUCGGUGGCCAAAAGAGUGUCAGAGGAGUUUGGUUGUUGCUUAGGCCAAGAGGUGGGCUACACCAUUCGAUUUGAGGACUGCACUAGCCCUGAAACAGUCAUCAAGUACAUGACAGAUGGGAUGUUGCUUAGAGAGUGCUUGAUUGACCCUGACCUCACUCAGUACGCGAUCAUCAUGUUGGACGAGGCACAUGAGAGGACAAUUCACACUGAUGUGCUCUUUGGAUUGUUGAAAAAGACAGUUCAGAAACGGCAGGACAUGAAGCUGAUUGUCACCUCAGCCACCUUGGAUGCAGUGAAGUUUUCUCAAUACUUCUAUGAAGCUCCCAUUUUCACCAUCCCAGGUCGAACAUAUCCAGUGGAAAUACUGUACACAAAGGAACCUGAGACAGAUUAUCUGGAUGCCAGCCUGAUUACUGUUAUGCAGAUUCAUUUAACAGAACCACCAGGUGAUAUCCUGGUCUUCCUGACUGGUCAGGAAGAAAUUGAUACUGCUUGUGAGAUCCUGUAUGAAAGAAUGAAAUCCCUGGGACCUGAUGUUCCAGAGUUAAUUAUCCUCCCAGUGUACUCUGCUCUUCCCAGUGAGAUGCAGACCCGAAUCUUUGACCCAGCUCCACCAGGCAGCAGAAAGGUUGUGAUUGCCACCAAUAUCGCAGAGACAUCGCUGACUAUUGAUGGUAUCUACUAUGUGGUGGACCCAGGAUUCGUGAAACAGAAAGUUUACAAUUCCAAGACAGGGAUUGACCAGCUCGUGGUGACGCCUAUUUCUCAGGCUCAGGCAAAGCAACGAGCUGGCAGAGCUGGGAGAACAGGCCCAGGGAAGUGUUACAGGUUGUACACAGAACGUGCCUACCGAGAUGAAAUGCUGACCACCAACGUGCCGGAAAUCCAGAGAACCAACUUAGCAAGCACAGUGCUGUCACUCAAGGCCAUGGGUAUCAAUGAUCUGCUGUCCUUUGAUUUCAUGGAUGCCCCACCUAUGGAAACUUUGAUCACAGCCAUGGAGCAGCUGUACACACUGGGGGCCCUGGAUGACGAGGGCCUGCUCACUCGCUUGGGCCGCCGGAUGGCAGAGUUCCCUCUGGAGCCAAUGCUAUGCAAAAUGCUCAUCAUGUCUGUGCAUCUGGGCUGCAGUGAGGAAAUGCUGACCAUUGUAUCCAUGCUGUCUGUGCAGAACGUCUUCUAUAGGCCCAAGGAUAAACAAGCCCUUGCAGAUCAGAAGAAGGCCAAAUUCCACCAGACUGAAGGGGACCACCUCACCCUGCUAGCUGUGUACAACUCCUGGAAGAACAACAAGUUCUCCAACCCAUGGUGCUAUGAGAACUUUAUCCAGGCUCGUUCCCUGCGCCGGGCCCAGGACAUUCGCAAGCAGAUGUUAGGCAUAAUGGACAGACACAAGCUGGAUGUUGUUUCCUGUGGCAAGUCCACAGUCCGAGUGCAGAAGGCCAUCUGCAGUGGGUUCUUCCGUAAUGCUGCCAAGAAAGACCCGCAGGAGGGUUACCGGACACUGAUCGACCAGCAGGUGGUCUAUAUCCAUCCUUCCAGUGCCCUCUUCAACAGACAGCCAGAAUGGGUGGUGUACCAUGAGCUGGUGCUCACCACCAAGGAAUACAUGCGUGAAGUUACCACCAUCGACCCUCGGUGGCUUGUGGAGUUUGCCCCAGCCUUCUUCAAGGUCUCAGACCCAACUAAGCUAAGCAAACAGAAGAAGCAACAGCGUCUUGAACCCUUGUACAACCGCUAUGAGGAACCCAAUGCCUGGAGAAUAUCUCGAGCUUUCCGACGGCGCUGAAAGGCAAGAUUGUUCCUUUGCCUCUCCAGCAGCAGUAGCCAGGGCUUGGACUUAUCGAUGACAGGCUGGUCCUGAGGAUACAGCUGUCCCGUGACUGACUGUCUUAACUGAGCAUUUUCUCAACUCGACUCUCAUUUCUUCCCUGCUGGUAAAAUAGAAACAGGGAUUUAAACCUGGCUUUGGCAAGAGCCUGCAGCCUCCAUCACCCCAAGUCCUUGGGCCCAGUUGGGAGCUCAUAUCUAACACAGAGACACAUUGCAUCAACUUCAAGAAAGGGACAAUUUGUGCAGCUCCAGGAUGGGAAGGUGGAGUGGGUGAGCAUCUUGUGCAGGGACAUGAGAUGGGUUCCCACUGUGCUGCCCAGGCUGCUCUCCAAUCCCUGGCGUCAAGCAAUCCUCCUGCCUCUGCCUCCCAAAGCGCUGGGAUUACAGUUGAGAGCCACUGUCCUCUGCACUGAGGAGGCUCCUUACCUGGCGGAACAUCAGGCAGGUCUUGCCAGGCCAGGUUUCGGAACUUACGGAAAGCUGGUCUGGAUGUAGUGCUUGUAGAGAAGCUUCUGAGAGAUUGGGCACAUCCUGUUACGUUGCUGCUUCUCCUGUCCUUAUGUUAUUAGUAAGUUCUGAAGUGAUGUAAAUGCUAGAACUACUGUAGAACUGUAUGCCAGACACUAAGAGAGACUAUGUAACAUUCCAGGAUAUAAAGGAAUGUAUGUUGUCACUGGGCAGCAAACCACACCCUAAAGACAAUUCAGAAAGAGUCCGAGGGAGAGGAAUAUAGGCCAGGCAAUCUGCUGGCUGCAGAUCCCUGCCCCUUCAUUAAGCUGAGUGCCUCCUGAUUCUGUCUGAGUAUUCGCCUUUGUAAGCCCAGGCCAGUAAUCAAGGGGCAGGGCAUUGUUGUGUGUUAACCUUGAAGGCCUUCUGGGGAGAGACAGUACAGGGACCUCAAAUGAAACCAAAGGGGAAACGGGGACUGGGCACCCACCUCCCCAAUCUCGUUUUGUUUUUGUUUUUGUUAAGACAGGAUCUUGCCAUCUUGCCUAGGCUGGCAUCAAACUCCUGAGCUCAAGUGAUCUUCCUGCCUCAGCCUCCUGAGUAGCUGGGACUACAGGUGCAUGCCACCACACCUGGCUCCCAGUCCUAAUUCCAGCCUAAAUUUUCCCCAUUCAGAAACACUCCUGGAUAUAGUGGCCCAGCCUGUCCUGACUGAGUGCCCAGCACUGACAAUGUUGACACCUGGGGAGGGAGGGUUGGGUUUCAAGCUGAGGUUGAAAAGGGAUGUUGAAUGGGCUAAGGAUAAGAGACAGCAGGGUUCGUUAUCUUUUCUGGCUCAGGUGGAGGAAAAAGAAGGAUCCCCAUUCUGUGGGUGUUCCUUGACCAUCUCUCUACGCUAGAGCUGAGGUCACUUCUCUGCUAUGACAACAUAGCUGGGUUCUGACCUUUUGACCAUCAGGAAAGCAAUGUCAGCAGCUGAGCUGAGCCUGCUCUGAGGGAGAAGGGGGGGGUCCUGUCCAGAUGCAGAAGGGGAGCUUGCCUGCUGCUCUCACACAAUGGAGCCCUUGUUUCUCUUCCUUGAACCAGUAUUUCCCAAGAUUGAGUGACAGCCCAGGAGAGGAUGUGGGUCUCAUGCAGAGAGCUGGGAUCUUCUUGGCCAUUAAAGUAUAUUGUUCACCCCCACCCCGCGAGAACCAAGCUCAGGAGUUGCCUGCCUCUGCACACAUGCUGAGUGUGCUGUUUGUGUAUAUGGCAGGACCGUCCCUAUGGGGCAUGUGUGAGCUCCGCAGCUGGGUCAGGCUCCUCGGUCCAGGUUUACUUCAUCCCGCCUGGACGUGAUUUGGCUUUGACUGUCUCUCCUGCAGCCCAAAGCACUUCCUCCCUGUGGUUGCUGUAGCUGUCUCAUUGGAGCAGUGCCUCUCCAAGUUUGAGGAUUUGAACAAAGAACUGGGACUGGUGACUUGUUAAUGAACAGUUCAGAGGGCAGAGGGCCAUCAUCUCAGCUUGUGGAGACCUUUCUUUCCCUGGAUGCUGCUUCUCAGCUAACUCCCUCUCUCUUCGUGUGUGUACUCGGCCUUCAGGGUUUCCACCGAUUUUUACACCUUCUUCCCACCACGAUAGCUUGGCUUUAAUGUGGAAUUAAAUUAUAUAUUUUUAAAA